AGCCUUAUGGUAUAAUAAUUUAAGGUAAGCCCUGCCCAGUGGAAUUUCUUAACGGCCGCAGUACCCUGACUGUGCUAAGGUAGCGUAAUCAGUUGGCUUUUAAAUGGAGUCGAGAAUGAACGGGGUCAUGGGGAAAAACUGUCUCUUUUCUAAUUAAUUGAAUUUGCUAAAUAGGUGAAAAUACCUUUAUAAAAGAAAAUAGACGAGAAGACCCUUAGAGCCUUUACAAUAUACUAUAAGUUAUUUGUUUUUGUUGGGGCGACAAGAAGACAUAUAACUCUUCUAUAAUACUAGACGACUAUAUUAUGUGCGGAUAGGCUACCUUAGGGAUAACAGCAUAAUUAUUUAUAGUUUGUGACCUCGAUGUUGGACUAGGAACUUGAUGACUAGUCGUCAAUAAAGGAAGUUCUGUUCGAACUCUUAAAUUCCUAC
rnacentral:rRNA from 1 species